UACGGAGGGUGCAAGCGUUAUCCGGAUUUAUUGGGUUUAAAGGGUGCGUAGGCGGCUAUUUAAGUCAGUGGUGAAAUCCUGCAGCUCAACUGUAGAACAGCCGUUGAAACUGAAUAGCUUGAGUAAUCUUGAGGUAGGCGGAAUGUGUAGUGUAGCGGUGAAAUGCGUAGAUAUUACGCAGAACACCGAUUGCGAAGGCAGCUUACUAGGGAUUCACUGACGCUGAUGCGCGAAAGCGUGGGGAGCAAACAGG
rnacentral:rRNA from 1 species